ensembl:lncRNA
CAGGUUAGGAGCAGGCAGUCAGGGAGAAACAGUCAGGUUAGGAGCAGGCAGUCAGGGAGAAACAGUCAGGUUAAGAGCAGGAGGUCAGGGAGAAACAGUCAGUUUAGGAGCAGGCAGUCAGGGAGAAACAGUCAGGUUAGGAGCAGGCAGUCAGGGUGAAACAGUCUGGUUAGGAGCAGGCAGUCAGGGUGAAACAGUCAGGUUAGGAGCAGGCAGUCAGUGAGAAACAGUCAGGUUAGGAGCAGGCAGUCAUGGUGAAACAGUCUGGUUAGGAGCAGGCAGUCAAGGUGAAACAGUCAGGUUAGGAGCAGGCAGUCAGUGAGAAACAGUCAGGUUAGGAGCAGGCAGUCAGUGA